rnacentral:lncRNA from 1 species
AGCUACAUCCGUCACCUGACACGGCCCUACCAGGAACAGCCGCGCUCCCGCGGAUUCUGGUGCUGCUCGCGUCCCCGCUCCCCUAUUCCCCUUAUUUUAUUCCUGGCUCCCCUCGUCGAAAGUCUUCCAUUCUUCAAACUAGAUUAUUUAAAAAUGAAAAAGGAAGAAAGGAAAGCGAGGUCAUCUCAUUGCUCUAUCCGCCAAUCAGGAGGCUGAAUGUCAGUUUUGAACUAAAAGCCGCUCCGCUCCUCUUCUAGAUUUGGAAAACAAGCGAAAUUAAACUAAACCGCUGCACGCCUCUGACGCGACAUCUGGACACGGCGCGGCGCUGGCGCUGCCGGAGCUGUCGACCCGGCCUGGCGCCGGACUAGUGUCCCUUUUGAUGAGAAGAAUAAGCCUCAUUCUGAUUCAACAGCAGAGAUCAAAGAAAAGACUUCUGUUUUCUGGCCACCAGAUAUAUGUUAUCUGUGCUUAAAGAAUUGAAAAACACACAUCAAAGGAGAAUUUUCUUGGAAAGAGAGGGUUCAAGCAUCACUGUUAGGUGUGCUGGAAUCCUUUCCCGAGUCAGUACUGCUUUCUAGAAGAAAACCGGGGAGAUCUAUUUGGAAUGUAUCUAACUCCAAAGAAACCAUCAGAGGUAACAGUAGAGACGGGGUUUCACCAUGUUGGCCAGACUGGUCUUGAACUCUCGACCUCGUGAUUCGCCCGCCUCGGCCUCCCAAAGUGCUGGGAUUACAGGUGUGAGACACCACACCCGGCGGAUAGAGAGAAUUUUGACAGUAUCUUACAGACAGCAAGUUGAACAUUGUGGGAUGCAUGAGCUAUUGAGGCCUUUGCAGCUUUCUGCUACAUGGAGGCUAGGGCCAGAGUCAAGAUUUAUGCUUUGCAGCACACUGGUCAGCUGUUUUUGCAAAUCAGAUUAAAUGAUUUUUAAAUGAGGCUGAGAGCAUGGGAGAUACUAAUGUGUGUUUCCUUGUGAGCUACUGCAUAAGUUAGGAAAUUGAAAUACAGAAAGAUGAAAAGUGAUUUGCCCAAGCAUAUAGAUCAAAGCUGUGGCAGAACCAGGACUGGAACCUAUAUCUCUCUACUAAUGGUUUUUUUAAAAAAAUAACCUUGUUUCAAAAAUAUUAAAAAGUCACAAGAAAGGUAAACAUGUGGAUAAACAAAAUGAAGAAAAUAAAAAUUAUCCAGUAAUAACAUAUUGGCAUAUGUCUUUCUGGUAUAUUUUCCUGUGUUGUCAUCAUUAUCAUCUCCAUCAUCAUUAUAUCCAUCAUUAUCAUCAUCAUCAUCAUCAUCAUCAUCAUUAUCAUCACCAUAGUGAACAUGUAAUGCUUACCUAGUGCCAGAUGCUGUCUAGGCAUUUUACAUGUGUUACUGGUAACUCAUGUAAUCCUCAUAACAACCUUAUAAGGUGGUUGCUAUUAUCCCCAUGUUACAUAUGAAGAGACAGAAGCAUAAAGAAGUUGCACCGCUGGUAAUUGGCUGGGAUUUGAACUUAAGCAGUCUAACCUUAGAGUAAUGAUUUUAACAACUAUGCUAUAUACAUACAAAUUUACAAAAUAAAACUGGGCUCAGACAAUAA